rnacentral:siRNA from 1 species
UAACGUCAUGUCCGAAACGGCCU